rnacentral:rRNA from 1 species
UACAGAGGUCCCAAGCGUUGUUCGGAUUCAUUGGGCGUAAAGGGUGCGCAGGCGGCGUCACGCGUGGCUAGAUGAAAUCUCCUGGCUUACCUGGGAGGUGGUAGCCAGACGGUGGCGCUUGAGGGUCGGAGAGGGGCGUGGAAUUCCGGGUGGAGCGGUGAAAUGCGUAGAGAUCCGGAGGACACCGACGGCGUAGGCGAGC